UGGGGAAUUUUGGACAAUGGGCGCAAGCCUGAUCCAGCCAUGCCGCGUGCGGGAAGAAGGCCUUCGGGUUGUAAACCGCUUUUGUCAGGGAAGAAAUCUUCUGAGUUAAUACCUCGGGAGGAUGACGGUACCUGAAGAAUAAGCACCGGCUAACUACGUGCCAGCAGCCGCGGUAAUACGUAGGGUGCAAGCGUUAAUCGGAAUUACUGGGCGUAAAGCGUGCGCAGGCGGUUUUNUAAGACAGAGGUGAAAUCCCCGGGCUCAACCUGGGAACUGCCUUUGUGACUGCAAGGCUUGAGUGCGGCAGAGGGGGAUGGAAUUCCGCGUGUAGCAGUGAAAUGCGUAGAUAUGCGGAGGAACACCGUGGCGAAGGCAAUCCCCUGGGCCUGCACUGACGCUCAUGCACGAAAGCGUGGGGAGCAAACCAGGAUUAGAUAGCCCUGGUAGUCCACGCCCUAAACGAUGUCAACUGGUUGUUGGGAAGGUUCCUUCUCAGUAACGUAGCUAACGCGUGAAGUUGACCGCCUGGGGAGUACGGCCGCAAGGUUGAAACUCAAAUGAAUUGACGGGG
rnacentral:rRNA from 1 species